rnacentral:rRNA from 1 species
UACAGGGGGGGCAAGCGUUGUUCGGAAUUACUGGGCGUAAAGGGUUCGUAGGUGGCCACUUAAGUCAGACGUGAAAUCCCUCAGCUUAACUGGGGAACUGCGUCUGAUACUGGGUGGCUUGAGUGCAGGAGAGGAAUGCGGAAUUCCAGGUGUAGCGGUGAAAUGCGUAGAUAUCGGGAGGAACACCUGUGGCGAAGGCGGCCACCUGGUUGGAUACUGACGCUGAGACGCGAAAGCGUGGGGAGCAAACAGG